rnacentral:lncRNA from 1 species
CUGGGGCUAGCCCAUGGGAGCCUGUGCUUGAGCUGCUUCUCAUGGGAGGCCCUAGAGAUGCUACAGUCACUCCCGAGUUUGGGGAGAAGAUGCCCGAGAGUCAGGAGAACUGGAGGGAAUUCCGGCCCGGGGCCUGCAGCCACUCUGCCAGGCUGCCUUAAAGACGAGGCGUCAAACCCACACCCAUCUCGUGAAGCGCCCUGAUGCAGGAGGCUGUGGGAUCGAUCCCGAUGUCGUAGUCACCGUUUGCCAUACGGAGUCUGGGCUGACGGUAGCAAGAGCAGCAUAGGGUCCUCACUUUUGCUCACCUAUGCACCAUGUUUUGCAUCUGAGUCAUCAGAGCGAGCGUGCCAGCCACCUCACCAACAUCCUAUUCUGGGGAAACUCCAUUACUCCUGCAUACAUUAUAUCCAGAUGGGUAGCACGAGCUUCAGGGAUGCACCCGAAUUCAUGGAGUUAACUGUGGUAGAUAGAGGCAGAAAGGGCCCUGCGGUUCUGAUUUCCAAACCCUGGCUGGGCUGUUGAAAAUAAACUACAUCGAUA